UUGUUUGCAGAUGUAGCAUCAUCAAGAUUCAUAUGUGAAUGAUGCAGAGUGGAACUGCUAAUAUUUCAAUUGAUCUUUUGAAAUAAGAAUCUUGAUGAUGCUGCAUCAGCCAUAUA
rfam:Medicago truncatula strain A17 chromosome 2, whole genome shotgun sequence.